UAGGGAAUCUUCGGCAAUGGGGGGAACCCUGACCGAGCAACGCCGCGUGAGUGAAGAAGGUUUUCGGAUCGUAAAGCUCUGUUAUAAGCGAAGAACGGGAGUAAGAGUGGAAAGUUUACUCUGUGACGGUAGCUUAUCAGAAAGGGACGGCUAACUACGUG
rnacentral:rRNA from 1 species